AAAGUGUGUGUGCGGGAGAGGAGUCGAGCAGAGAAAGCUGUUUUGUCAUGAAACGGGUGUAAAGCAGUGAACUUAGAGGAGAGAAACAAACUAAAGUAUCGAUCAUAUACCACUACCAACGUUUGGAUCGAUAUCUGCAUCGAUCUGCCCACCCUCGUCUCCUGGAUCGUAGCUGAGAUCAGCGUGAACCACGUGGGUCUCUGCUCCCUGAUCUGUUUGCUGUGUUUGGAAAGAGUUCCAGCUUCAUCACGGAGUUUCUCUCGGUUUGUGGGCUCAUCUAAAGCUGAUCAUCAGGAGGAGACGAGCCAUUUAGACUCAGCUCAGCCACUACAGAGGAAACAAUGACUUCAACCCAAAAGGACCAACAUGGAGCGAGAAGUCAGCGCUCUCAGGAGGCCGACAAACCUCACAGAAGAAAGGGACAGAAAAAAUACAGCUGUGAUGAGUGUGGGAAGGAUUUUACUUGUUCUGAACACUUAAAAACACACCAACUCAUCCACAGUGAAGUUAAAGCAUACAACUGUGAGUUGUGUGGAAGAUCUUUUACUGAUCCUGGAAACUUAAAAACACACCAACUCAUCCACAGUGGAUUUAAACCGUACACCUGUGAUGAGUGUGGAAAAUCUUUUCCACGUGCUGGAAGCCUGAAAACACACCAAGUCAUCCACAGUGGAGUUAAAGCGUACAACUGUGACUUGUGUGGAAAAUCUUUUACCCAGACUGGAAGCUUAAAAAGACACCAACUGAGCCACAGUGGAGUUAAAGCGUACACCUGUGACUUGUGUGGAAAAUCUUUUACUCACAGUGGCCAGUUACAGUGUCAUCAAGUUAUCCACUCUGGAAUUAAGCCGUACAGCUGUGACAUUUGUGGAAAAACUUUCAGUCGUGUAGAGAGCCGAAAUAAACACCUACGGAUUCACACUGGACGUGAUGUUUGCUGCUGUGUUCAGUGUGGCAAACUGUUUACAACAAAUGCACACUUACAAGACCACAUGUUUACCCACACUGAGGAGAGACCUUACAAAUGUGACCUGUGUGAGAAGACUUUUAAAGCUCCACGUUACCUGAAAAAACACCAAGAGAUCCACACCAGAAAGAAACUCUACAAGUGCAGUUACUGUGAGAAGCAGAGCGACACAGAUGGAUCCAGUUCUCAACCCUGUCAUCACUGUGGAGGUGGGAAAGACUUUCGUUGUGACCUUUGUGGAAAUACUUUUGUUCACCAACGAAACCUAAAAAUACAUCAACGUACACACACUGGAGACAAAAUGAACUACUGCAAAGAAUGUGGGAAAGGCUUCCCUACAUUAGGUGAUUUAAAAAAACACGAACUAUUCCACAGUGGGGUUAAAAAGCACAUUUGUGACCAGUGUGGGUCAUCCUUCACCACUGCAGGUGAGGUUAAAAGUCAUAAACGAGUCCACACAAGAGAGAAACCAUACAAGUGUAAACACUGUGACAGAAGCUUUUCACAACCAGGGACUCGUAACAAACAUGAAAAUAGACACAUUGAAGGGAACUUCAGCUGUGACCAGUGUGACAAGAGUUUUAAGAAUCUCACUACAUACUCCGAACACAAACGGUCCCAUGCUGUAAAUAAACUGUUUCACUGUUACCAAUGUGCAAAAACAUUCACUUCAUUGUCUGCUCUGUGCAACCAUCAGCGUGAUCAUGAAAUCAUUCCCAUCACUGGAUCACAAUGAAUCUGCAGAGACAGAAAGAUCCUCUUCUGGUUUCAGGGUCAGACUUAAAAACCUUGAGAUCAGGCUCCACAGAGUUCAGAUGGACUCUCCUGUAAAGAGUGUCAGCUGAUGUCAGACUUGGAUCUGAUGAGGUAGCUCUGAUUUCUGGACCUGCAGUGAAUAAUCCUGAAUGUUUAAUUUGGCAUGUUGUUAGUAUAGAUAUGCACAUCAAUUUUCUUUCUUUUAAUUUUUCUUAAUAAGAUAACCUUUAUUAGUCCCACGCGUGGGAAAUUUUAUUGCUCUAAAAUGUUA